rnacentral:rRNA from 1 species
CGACUCUCGACAACGGAUAUCUCGGCUCUCGCAUCGAUGAAGAACGUAGCGAAAUGCGAUACUUGGUGUGAAUUGCAGAAUCCCGUGAACCAUCGAGUCUUUGAACGCAAGUUGCGCCCGAAACCAUCAGGUCAAGGGCACGUCUGCCUGGGUGUCACGCAUCGACUUGCCC